AUUGAACGCUGGCGGCAGGCCUAACACAUGCAAGUCGAGCGGAUGACGGGAGCUUGCUCCUGGAUUCAGCGGCGGACGGGUGAGUAAUGCCUAGGAAUCUGCCUGGUAGUGGGGGACAACGUUUCGAAAGGAACGCUAAUACCGCAUACGUCCUACGGGAGAAAGCAGGGGACCUUCGGGCCUUGCGCUAUCAGAUGAGCCUAGGUCGGAUUAGCUAGUUGGUGAGGUAAUGGCUCACCAAGGCGACGAUCCGUAACUGGUCUGCGAGGAUGGUCAGUCACACGGGAACUGAGAAACGGUCCAGACUCCUACGGGAGGCAGCAGUGGGGAAUAUUGGACAAUGGGCGAAAGCCUGAUCCAGCCAUGCCGCGUGUGUGAAGAAGGUCUUCGGAUUGUAAAGCACUUUAAGUUGGGAGGAAGGGUUGUAGAUUAAUACUCUGCAAUUUUGACGUUACCGACAGAAUAAGCACCGGCUAACUCUGUGCCAGCCGCCGCGGUAAUAC
rnacentral:rRNA from 1 species